GAGGGUGGAGCUCAGUGGUAGGGUGUGUGCUUAGCAUGCACGUGGUCCCAGGUUCAAUCCCCAGCACCUCCA
rnacentral:tRNA from 1 species